CAAACAUGACCCAGUUAAACAGUCUUUAUAUAGGCAUCUAGCUUGAUUGAUCAAUCUCGGGUCUUGCUAAUGUGAGGUUGAAGAAUAGAUCCUACAUAUGCAGGGGAAUAAAUUCAAGCUAAAAUGCUUUUACUCUAUUACUAUGGAACUCGUCGUAUGGAAGAAAUGAACUGCAAUUCACAUUUUCAGGCUUUUAACACCAUCUCCAACUAGCAGUCAUGAAUAGAUAUUAUCAAAUAUGCAAAUCAACAUCCCCAAGAACAGAAAUAUCCGUCCCACCCAAUCAAGGAGCUUCCUCAAGGUACCUAGGACUCAUAACUCAUGACCUUAGCCUACUACAAGUGAUUUCAUAGAUAACUCGGAGAAAACUCUUCGAGUGUUCUUCUUCAGGCAAUUUAAGAAGC
rnacentral:lncRNA from 1 species